ensembl:lncRNA
CACCCACCAAAUGGGAACAAACGUACCAAGAACGUUUUGGUUCAGUACAAACAGUUCCGCAACGUAGCAAACGUUCAAGCGAAUUGAACGCACCUCAGAAAAAAAUUACCGUAGCAAACGUAGUUGGCGUGGUUGAUGAAACUGGAGUCAAAGGAGCAAUUUGAGGAUUACGGGUUUUAACAGACAAUGUGUUUUUAGGAUAGGAUAAUCUGUAAAUGCCUUUUCAGAAAAAGUUACCGUAGAAAACGUAGUUGGUGUGGCUGCUGAAACUGGAGUCAAAGGAGCAAUUUGAGGAUUACGGGUUUUAACGGACAAGGUGUCUUUAGAAUAAUCUGUAAGUACAUUUUCUAAAAUAUAAUUUUAGGUCUAUCUCUUACUAACAUGAAGUAAAUAGGUAUCUGUCCAUGCUGGACAGCAGAUACCUCAAACUGUAGGCUAAUAUUUUCUGACUAAAGCAAGGCAAUUCUGUAAGGCAGUGUUUAUUUGACCGACUAAAAAGGAAGAAAGUAGGCUAUAUUAGGCUAAAUGAUCCUGCCUAUGAUAUUGUGAUUUAUUAAUACAUUUUCGAAUUCCAAAAGCGCAUAGCAACUCAGACGAGCAUGAUGCACACGUGACCCAGGGUUUGUCCAUCGUAGCUGACUAAACUCAACCCAUCGUGAAGGAAGUUUCUGAUUAACUCCAACGGAGUCGAGCAGAGAACAGGCUUUGUGGAAUUAAUCUCCGACUAAAUAGAUUCGCUCAAGGUCAAUACUUUAAAAAAAAAAUAUUUAGUUCAGAAACGCAUACCUUGAAUCUCAGACGACAGGCUGAGGUCUCCAAAUACUUAUUGAGCAUGCGCAUUUUCGCUUUGUUGCCAUCUUCGAGAAACAUAAAUGAGCAUGCAGUCAAUGGUAUUUUAUUAACUUUUGAAAACUUAUAGAUUUCAGCAAACAAAGGCACGCAUCUACAGAGGACAAACAUAGGUACAAGAAAUGGUUACGUUCUGCCAUACCACAUGGCAGAAGGCGAGACUGAGAAGCCAAGGAGAAUGCAGACUACCUGGCCCCAAAGUGGACCGGAUCGAUCAGUCACUGGACAAUCCUCAAGUCCUCAAGUCACCAGUGGUCAGCUGAGUGGGAAUCCGAGCACCUCUUCUCAUCAAUAUGGGAUGGUCAGACCAUCGGUGGCGUAUACACUAGGUAGGGAAGUCGGACCAGUGGUCCCAUAUACUCAAGGUGGUGAAUGCUUACCACACAGCAGUCAAGUAACCAGUGUAGGUUACUUGAGUGGACAGACCCAGAAUCAACAGGCACCCACAAAAGAGCAGACCCUAAUGGCCACUAGUCCCCUUUUGACAUCACUCUUGACUAACAAUGCAGCUGCACAAUCAACUAGUGUUACAUCACAAAGUGGAUACCAUCACACCCUGCCUGGAAGGGUUAACGAUGCUUUUCAAACCACUUUCCAGCAGGAACAUAGGUCUUUGGGUGUUAAUGGUAACAAUUCACAGAGGUUGGUACAGGAUGGUCAGGGUGCAACCAUUCACUGCCCCUCUGAUAUUAAUGCAUCACUGAAUACAAAUUGUAUUUAUCUCCAAAGACCAGCAAGUGGCAGUCAGCAGCUGGUACUUGGCAGACAAGAGGGGACCUCCAGUGGUACCUCUGCUGCUCUUGCAAUGGGUAGGAGUCCCAAUCAUGUCAAUCAUCAAUGGACUGUAGUGAGUGGAAAGGAUUCAAGUAGGAUGGCGGUUCAAGCUCUUCAUCAGGGAUAUCCACAAACACCAAACUCUUUGCAAAUUGCACAGGAGACAAGUAGUGUGCCAUCGAGGACAUCUCCACAGUCUCCCACAGCAUAUAAACAACUCUAUUUGAUUCUAAAUCAAAACAAUAACAACAGGACUGAGAUGAACAGGGUUCAACAUAGCACACCUGUCCAAACUGACCCAUCAAACCACAGUCAAAUGUAUCCCUUCCAACCUCUCACGGACAGCAACAACCAGGUCAAUCUACCAAAUGCUACAGUGGGGCAGUCAAUGCCAAUGCAUAACAUUAGCCAGAAUCCUCAAUACAAUGUUAUGCAUAACCCUUCUCUUAAUAAUUUUCAAAGAUAUCGCCCUGCAGGCCUUACCAACCCACCACAACAGAACAGACUUGUGUCAAAUUGUGCAAAUAUGAACAGUCAGGCAGGGGCCAUUAAAAAUAAUGCACACCAUGCCCCAUAUCCUAGGCCCCAUAUCGAAGGCGUAUCCAACCUACAUUACAAGGCAGACGUUCUGGUGUCCAACACUGGACCAUCUUCAUCUGUGCCAAACAAUGGUAUACAGUCUUCAGUCGAGCACACCCGUGAGUCCGCUCCUCCACCAUACCCAGGCCAGCGCUCACAUGGACCCAUGCUGAACAAGACUGGAUAUGUGGUUGGGGCAGGAGCACAUUCUCUGCAAUACAUACCAAACCAAGGCUCAGCCCAUACCCUACAUUACAAGCCAAAAAACACCUAUGUUCUGACAUCCAACACUGGACAAUCUUCAUCUGUGCUAAACCAUGGUAUGCAGUUUUCAGGCCAGCAAAACUGUGAGUCUGUGCCACCGUCAUACCCCAUAAGACAGGGCUAUUACGUAACGGUAACAGAGGACAAAAGUGGAAAUGGAUUUAGAGCAGAAAAGGUUAUUUUGAUAGGAGAUAAACCUAAUGAAAGUGCUCUGGUACGGCAAGGAUCAUCUGCAAUUAAUGCCCCCUCUGUUCCUACGGUGCAGAAGGCCAUCGCCGUUGUACAACCACUAUCGCAGUGUAUGCAGACAAACACAUCUCUCAACGUGGCUGAUAGAAUGCCCUUGACUACCCAAGGUAUGUCGUUCUCAACUAGUGAUGAAAAUGUGAGCAACCCUGGGGAAGAAUCUUGUGACCAGAGUCCAUCACAAGCCCAAACAACCCUUACUGUAUCUGCUUCUUUGACAAAUGAAUUUGAACAAAAGGUCCCCAAGGUCAGACCAGAAGCUACAUUAGAAUUGGGUGCUGGAAGAACAGUGACUCAGGAUUCAGAAACUUCAGUUGUUGAACUGGCCAAGACAUAUUCAUAUUUUGAGUCUGAACCGUCACUAUCGAACUGCUUACAUGUAGAGAAAGUUGAUUCUCAACCAUUAUCUAAUUUGAAAUGUCAAGCCACUCAGAGAAAAGAGUUAGCUGGCACAGAAAUGACCACUCAUGUGCAUGUUAACCAAUUGAGUGAGGAAACAAAUGAAAAACUAGUUUCAGAUGAGGACAUUUUUGAGUUGUCCUCAGUUCCUGUAAUCAAAUGGAGACUUGGUAAAUUGAAGGAGUUGGUAGACACUGUGCAACAUCCAAAAUGCUCUGAGACACUGGUUGAAAGCAAGCUACUAAGCCUCUAUUGGGAUGGAGAUGGGCAGAAGCUUAUAGAUGCUGUAAGAUCUGGUAUCUUCCAGAAUAUAAUGCGAGAGGUUAGAUCUGUGUGUGGCAAAGAUAUGUCAUCACAGUCUGUCAUAUUUUCACAAGUCAGGCGCAAAAACUGGGCUCAAGUUGAAGAGAAGUGUGUCAUUCUUAAACAUGAUUCUGUUUACCCCGUUGUCCCGGGUCAAGAGUCCUCGUGGCUGAACACCAAUAAGCAGCUUGAUGACAUAGACAGGGAGUUUGGAUUCCCUUCGUCACUAAUAUAUCACCAACAGACUUUUCGAAGAGGAGAUGAACAACCAAAACGGAAUUGUACCGAAAAUGAAAAUUCUGUAGAAAAUGAAGACUCUGCCAGUGACAUGCAGACUGAGGUGAUUCAGACAGAGAGACCAGCACCCUCUGAAUCUGAUCCUAAAGAAAUUCAAGGGUCAAGUUUGGCACACAGCUCUACACACACCCUCUCACCAGUUAAGAAAGAAAGUGAAAACACCAUUUUAUGUGACCCAUUUUCCUCCCUGGAGAUCAACGUGCUGACACCAGAAGAGGCUAUGCGGUUUUUCAAUGGCCAGCUACUGCAAGACAAAGUGGGAGAAGACCAGUUGAAAUUGCCAGUGGAUGUGGAGCUGAAUGAGUUGAAAGAUUACUCCGUGGAGGAUAAAUCAUCUGAGAGAGUAGAUGUAAAGUUGACGACUGUAAAAUAUGAAUUGGAUGUCCAAUCGGAAGAUUACUGUUGUCUCUCACGUUGGAAGGCAGUGUUCAGUGGGUCCACCAAUUCUGUGUCCUGCAAAUGCCAGUACAAGACUGAAUUGGGUUUGACAAAGGCCACUGUGAAUGCAAAGAUGUUUGUCGAGGGAACUUUGGCUGUUGAACCGAGCACAACAAAUGCAGAACAAAGGGAAAGCCUGGAUUUAUGGAAAUCAAAUGGCACAGCAGAAAGAAAGAGGGAAGGGAAUCCUGGUAAAAAUGGGAAUCCCCAAUCAGGGAAAUCUACAGGCAUUGAAUGCCAAACUAUUUUCUUGUCUGAUAGUGAAUCUGAGACUGAUCGCCCAUACACUAAUGGGGCGAAGAGCUUGCCAUUGUCAAAACCCCCAUCACUGUGCCUGCCCAGCAAGUGCCCAAACAUUGUUGAAGUUGAAAUUGAAGAUGUCUUCUCGAGCUAUGAAGACUUUCUCAAAGUAUCCACCCCAAUGUCUGAGCUAGUGUGGGACAAUGUACAGCCAAAGCAGCAACUACCAGGUCCACUCCAGAAACAAAUGGAAUGUGUACAAGCACUUAGUGUCUCUUUGGAAGAAAGGAACCUUGGGGGUAGUGAAGUCAUUCCUACAGUUACCAUUCCUACUUCUAAUCUGCUACGCCAACCAGAGAAAGAGAAAAUCAGUUUUCUAACAUCACUCUCCUUGGCACAAAGAUGUCACAAGCAUCUAUCGCCUAAAUUAAAUUGUAGCUGGAAGGUUAAACAAAAAGGGGUUGGACACAAGAGAUGUGUUGAAGGUCCUCAUUCUGUCCCAAGAAAGCGAAGGAAAAUAAGGCAAGGUUUGGGUCCCUUCAUUCAACUUGUUCCUGAGGUCAACUUGACUGACACAGAUGACGAUUUCGAGUCCCCCAAUACAAGUGCUUCUAAGUCUUUGGAAGAAGACCGACCUUCAAACAGUCGCAAUCUCCAGAAGCCAGCAGAACCUGGAAUUGGGACCAAGAUUUCAAGGGUCACAACAGUAAGUCUGGCCUUGUUUGGUUCCUCGCCCCAGAGGACAAAUGGGACUGUAGUAACUGGCCAACGCAAGGACCAUAAUUCUUCUCGACCUAGACCUUUUGCAGACAAAGCUCCAGCACCUCCUUUAACCCUCAUUGUGAAUGUCAAGUCCUGGAGGAUAGAGCCCUCCGAGACCAGCCCGCCAGUGGAAAGCCCAGUCAGACAACGGCUCUUCAACGAGUGGGAGAACAGUUUUGUGCCAACAAAGAAGACAAAGUCCAGGGGCAGACCAAGACUACGAAACAGAAGAGGCUUUGCUCCGAAGAUUGUUUGUGCUGAAGUUGCCAAAAAGACUGUUACCUCGACCAACACAGAUGGUAGUGCAUUAUCCUCUGAAAGACGAGCCACACCAGAAAGAACCGUAAGGGUCAAGCAGACUUUGCGGCACUUUGAAAGAGAGAGAAUCUUAAAUGGCCUGAAACUCAGACUGAAGAAAUCUAGGAUCAAGGCAGUGCCAUCCAGCAAACCUGUUACAGUGGAAAAAAGUACAAUUAAGAUCAGGAGCCCUGCUCUUUUGCCUCUUGAGGAGAACAGUGUUCUGAGGUUCAGUGUGCUGCCAGAGUCGUUCAACUUCAAAGAUGGACAAGAACCCAUGGACACUCGGACACAGACUGGUUCAAUGAAGGAAAUGGCUGGUGCUGGUGCUGUUGCUGCGAUGACUGAGAGUACUAAAACAAUAGUCCGGAAAUCCCAAGUAGGUUUAUGGUCUGCUGGCCCUCAGAAGAGAUAUUGUCCUCUCACCUCUUCGCCCACUAAAAUCCCCAAGUCUUCCUCCACUGCCUUCCAGGAGUUUCAGAGGAAAUUCAAGCGGCUAUCCCAAGACUAGUUUGUAUUGCCUCCAGUUAAGGAAUGGAGGAGUGGAGUGAGGACUGUUGACAAUCUGAUUCUUGUAACUUGUUUCCCAUGGAAAUAUAGUCUGUGUAGAAUUUCAUUUUGUUUUGUUUAUGAUAACCUUUUUCAUAACAAAAUUGUUAUUUUCGAAUGCAGAAUUUGACCUUAUUGUGGUAAGGUUGGGCAGUUCAUAAUAUGGUUAUUUUUUAUCGUAGUUAUUGUUUAUAUUCUUAAAUGACUGAGCCAAUAUAUCUGACAGUAUCCUCCUCUACCUCAGGCCUCACGGUCAACAUUGCAAGACUUUGUCAUUAAAAAACAUUAAAUGAAGUUUUGUGGCCAAUUGGAUGGCUAUUUUCUUGUCACUGUCAUUUCAGACUUUUAAAAAAAGUUUGGGGUUAACAAUAUUUUAUGCAAACCUCAUGUUUAUUGUUUGCAUGGAUCACAGAAUUUGGACUAUGCCAAAUGUACUGCAGUUUAUUUGAAUUUGUAGGCUACAUAAUUUCACUUCUUGACUCUUACCUUCUACAUUCUCAUAUCUUAUCAAUAGUUUCAUUCUCAAUAGUUAUUUUGCUGGAAUUCAAACCGAUUCCUUUUGUUGACACAGGAUGAACAGGAUUGUAAUGGUUCAAGAUACUGAGACAGCUUAACCAAUGUUGCAUUGCAGUAGUUAGACCUUUUUGUAUUCUGGUUCUGUAUUUUAGUAUUAAACUUUUAUACUUCUUCGUAGUUAUAGAUUCACAUUUGUGACAGACAACUGAGCGUGUGGCAGACAAAAACAAUCAACACUGUCAGGGAACGUGAGUCAUUAGUAACCUGGUGCAUUGAUGUAUAUCUUUUUUGUGCCUAGUGUUAUUUCUUUAUGUUGAUUUAUUUUGUUAUUUGUUUCUAAAUAAAUAUUUUACAUACUUACAUUGAUAUUUAUCUCUAGAGCAUCUUUCACUUGGAUAUUCUUGUUGACUUUAGAGUGUACUGUAGUAUAUCCCUAAUAUAUUAGUCACUCAUAGCCUAGCAGAGUUUGCCUGCAACCCUAUAAUUAAAACACACCCCAGGACUGAGACUUAGGGGGCUAUUGCUCAAGACAUACUUCUGCAUUAACACAAACACAUUCUGUCCUCAGCAGAUUCUAACUGCAUAAGCAACUGUAGAACACCAAACUCAUCUGUCUGACUGAAGCUAUCACAUGCGUCCCUGUCAAAACAGGGAAACUGCCUAGCCUUCUUGCGCCACUGUCAGUUCCAGUUCCCCUUAUCUCAACUCCUGGAUACACACAGACACACAGACAUCUCAACGCACACACACCCCACACCCAAUUCAACUGAGCACCCAAUUCAACUGAGCAGGAGCCAGGAUCAGACGACUUCAAGAAGCACCAAUGAG